rnacentral:rRNA from 1 species
GAUGAACGCUGGCGGCGUGCCUAAUACAUGCAAGUCGAGCGAACGGACGAGAAGCUUGCUUCUCUGAUGUUAGCGGCGGACGGGUGAGUAACACGUGGAUAGCCUACCUAUAAGACUGGGAUAACUUCGGGAAACCGGAGCUAAUACCGGAUAAUAUUUUGAACCGCAUGGUUCAAAAGUGAAAGACGGUCUUGCUGUCACUUAUAGAUGGAUCCGCGCUGCAUUAGCUAGUUGGUAAGGUAACGGCUUACCAAGGCAACGAUGCAUAGCCGACCUGAGAGGGUGAUCGGCCACACUGGAACUGAGACACGGUCCAGACUCCUACGGGAGGCAGCAGUAGGGAAUCUUCCGCAAUGGGCGAAAGCCUGACGAAGCAACGCCGCGUGAGUGAUGAAGGUCUUCGGAUCGUAAAACUCUGUUAUUAAGGAAGAACAUAUGUGUAAGUAACUGUGCACAUCUUGACGGUACCUAAUCAGAAAGCCACGGCUAACUACGUG